CCUACGGGUGGCAGCAGUGGGGAAUAUUGCACAAUGGGCGCAAGCCUGAUGCAGCCAUGCCGCGUGUGUGAAGAAGGCCUUCGGGUUGUAAAGCACUUUCAGCGGGGAGGAAGGCGUUAAGGUUAAUAACCUUGUCGAUUGACGUUACCCGCAGAAGAAGCACCGGCUAACUCCGUGCCAGCAGCCGCGGUAAUACGGAGGGUGCAAGCGUUAAUCGGAAUUACUGGGCGUAAAGCGCACGCAGGCGGUCGGUCAAGUCGGAUGUGAAAUCCCCGGGCUCAACCUGGGAACUGCAUUCGAAACUGGCAGGCUAGAGUCUUGUAGAGGGGGGUAGAAUUCCAGGUGUAGCGGUGAAAUGCGUAGAGAUCUGGAGGAAUACCGGUGGCGAAGGCGGCCCCCUGGACAAAGACUGACGCUCAGGUGCGAAAGCGUGGGGAGCAAACAGGAUUAGAUACCCGUGUAGUC
rnacentral:rRNA from 1 species